AUACUUACCUGGCAGGGGAGAUACCAUGAUCAGGAAGGUGGUUUUCCCAGGGUGAGGCUUAUCCAUUGCACUCCAUAUGUGCUGACCCUGCGAUUUCCCCAAAUGUGGGAAACUCGACUGCAUAAGA
rnacentral:snRNA from 1 species